rnacentral:rRNA from 1 species
CCUACGGGAGGCAGCAGUGAGGAAUAUUGGUCAAUGGACGAGAGUCUGAACCAGCCAAGUAGCGUGAAGGAUGACUGCCCUAUGGGUUGUAAACUUCUUUUAUAAAGGAAUAAAACGAGGCACGUGUGCCUGUUUGCAUGUACUUUAUGAAUAAGGAUCGGCUAACGCCGUGCCAGCAGCCGCGGUAAUACGGAGGAUCCGAGCGUUAUCCGGAUUUAUUGGGUUUAAAGGGAGCGUAGAUGGGUUGUUAAGUCAGUUGUGAAAGUUUGCGGCUCAACCGUAAAAUUGCAAUUGAUACUGGCAGUCUUGAGUACAGUUGAGGUAGGCGGAAUUCGUGGUGUAGCGGUGAAAUGCUUAGAUAUCACGAAGAACCCCGAUUGCGAAGGCAGCUUACUAAACUGUGACUGACAUUGAUGCUCGAAAGUGUGGGUAUCAAACAGGAUUAGAUACCCUUGUAGUC